rnacentral:lncRNA from 8 species
CUACAGUCAGACACAACUCCCUCAACACUCCACCAAAACUCUACUGUGAUUAAGAACUUGCAAUACCCUAAAAUGCCUGGCAAUCGACAAUUAGGCCACCAUGGACACAAUGAUGAAGACGAUGACAUACUUUAUACCAACGAGCUGUGGGGUGGAAGACAUCCUGGAGUUUUCAAAAUUUCAAGUGAGCUCAAUAAAAAUUUACUCAAAAAGGAAACAUGGAAAUGCAAAAGGCGAGUUACAAAGAAGCCAAAGAUGAAACUGGUGUCAGCUGGAGUUGAAAUAGGUGAAACCGUGAAAAUAAUUGACACGAUCGACAGAGAACCAAAUGCCUACACAGAAGGCACGUACGCUCGACAUAAAGGAUAUAAGGCAGGUCUUAAAAAUGAGCCAGGCCAGAGGAUUCCCAAGGCUGGGUAUUACGCAGAAGCAGGAGUUGGACGAGCUCGAGCUGAAUGCAGUGUGUUUGAGGCUGAAGCUAAAGGCCCCAAUGCAUCAAUUGGAGCUGAAAUCAGUGUGGUUGGAGCAGGAGCAAUGGCUCGAGCUGAAAUCGCCAGCGCAUCAGCUAAUGCCGGUCCACUCGGUGUCAAAGUGGGACUUGGACUCGAUACGGGUGCAUCUAUUGGUGUGGAUGGGGUGGAGGCAAAAUUCCUGGGAACAGGAGUCUCAAUCGGUCCAAAAACCAGUGUGUCUGCUCUGGGUUCAGAAGUGUCAUGUUCAGUCAUGUAGAAACAUAAUAAGAACAGGACUCUACCUGUAACAAUGCAAUAAAGUUCAACCUGAAUGAGAACAAAAUGACUGAAGUCCACAGAAGUGUGCUACAGUGAUUUCUUUAG